CCCCCGAAAAAUGCUCAACGUCAUGAUUAGCAAGAAGUUAAUUCCGGAAAAAAACAUUUGGUGCAGUUUAGAAACUGCGAGACUCAAUUGGAGGGCGCUGCGUGUGUAUAGGAACACCAGGAUCAACCACCAUCGCCGAGUGGUGUUACAUUUUUGGUUUUCCAAUCAACUGGGACUUUCCAGCAGUGAGGGACGUUCCAGAAGCAAGGGAAUUUUGGAGGACUACAACCAACACAUUCACUAUCUCUGCAGCACUUACUUUAAGACCCAAGGUUGCAGGCUAUCGGUCAGGAGACUUAGCAGCCUUAAGUCCCGUUACUUCUUCUGUAGUGAAGAACAAUUUACAGAGAAAAAUGCCAUGUUAGUCCUGACCAGACUCUUGAAAGUAUACCCACUUGAGAACAAAAUCAGUGCUAUUUCACUGGACAAUAUCUGAUGGAUGUCACAAGGUCAAUACGUAAAACCUCCAAAUAGUUAUGUGAAUGCCACAAAAUUUGGUUCUUUCAGAACUGGUGUGGGUUGCAGAAUCUUUUCUCUCUUCUUCAGUGCGUCAACGGCAGUGCUGAACAUCCCCUUCACCUACAUCGAAAAGCAGGCAAGCAAGCAUAUUCCAGCGCAGCUACAGAGAAAAAGAGACAUAAAAUUAUUUCAGGAAAUAUAUCCACUGUUGAACAAAAUUUCCAGAAAAUAACAAAGCCAAGAGCAUCUUGCUAUGGAAAAUUUGCAGCCUGUUAAUCCAGAACUGGCCACCAGAGGGAGCUUUUAUACUCGGCUUCUGAAUUUGAAGUCAAUCCCAAUGGCUUGUCUCUACAUAGCAAUGAUCAUCUUCUCCACCUACUGGCAGAAAUAUACAAAACCUCUAGAAUUGCAGAAGUGACUGCUGCAGAGAGUUGUACCAAUAUCAGCCGAUUGGCACCUCACCUGGGUAGCUAAUCUUCGUGUGAGGCUUCAUGCCAACUUUAAGCUUGACUAUGGAGAGAAGAGAAGAGAAGCAUCACAGAUGAACAAAGUUAACAUCAUUACAGUACAGUUAUAAUUUCCAGUAAGGAUCACUCGAUGCCCACCAGCUAUGGAACCCACUGAUGAACAUCACAGAACGAUGAACAGGAUCAUAAAUAUGAAUCCAAGAGUAGCAAUAACAUUCUGUAAUCCCUAUUGAAAUGCUAUUAUCCAUAUAACAUGUUUGACUUGGUCAACAUAACCAAUGGCCUAAAUAUAAAAAAUGAAAUUGUGGAAUGCAAUUCUGAAAAAAAGGUUUAAAAAACUCUCAAGUCUUCUAAUAAAAUGGAAUCUGAUUUAUUCAGUGACCAUAAAGAGUGACCCUGGUCAUAUGUUCCUCUCCCUUUGCUCAUCCAGGGAUAUUGAACUCAGUUGUGGUACUACAUCUGUACCUUGGCUGAGACUAGGUAAUGGCACAAACCACAGAUCAAAUAUGGAACCUUCCUGGUUUCUAUCGCUCAGUACAAUCUCAUUUGGUACAUUAAUCGAUUGAACUUCAAGGGCAGCACCCUCCACCAAUCAACCAAAUGAACUAAAGCAAUUGUAAACCAUUUUGUUUAUGUAUUUACAGCCAAAGAAAUUAUAUUUUGGCACAGAAAGUUAAACCUUAGACAUUUUUUUAUGGAGCAGGGCAGCAAAAGGUCUGCACUCAGCAGAUGUGCUGAUUGGAAUGAAAAAAAAGUUUCAAGUAUUAUUGAUUUCUGUCUUUAGUAAUGAAAAUCAGACCCCAAAAGUUUCAACAGCAUUUAAAUCUUGUCAAAAUGGUGUAGGUUUAAUGGCCUCAAGUGUUUGAAUAGUUGGAUAAGUAACAGGAGCCCAUAGCAUGCGGCAAGGCAGUAAUCAUUGGGAAACAUAUAUGCUUGGCUUUUAAAAUACCAAUAAUUAUUUUCAUAUGGCACAAAGCCAAAGCCUGAAUCAAUCAUUGGUACAGUUUAAAACUGCACUCUUCAUAUUUGCUCCUGUUUUACAAAACAGUGUUUAUUGGUCCUUGCUGUGCUGGACAUAUUGACAGUUGUCAUGCCCAGUACAAGCAUGAAGAUAUCACAAAUUUUAAAGAUAUAUUUUAAAACGUGAAGACUAAAGCUAUUAAGGUGGCUGCAGCAUACCAUGUGACUUUUGGCAUUUGAACUGUAAACAGUAGAGUUUGUGGCCAGUACCUGAUUAAAUAUGGACCAAAACCUACAGACAAUGGGGUUUGCAGAUAACUUGGCUCCAUGUUUCACCGGGGAUGUCGAACCUCAAUGGAUGUUAGGCAGAUGUGAAAUGGAUCCUAUCAACUUUACAUUAUAUUGUGAUGGCCCCUCAUCCAAAGACAAAGACCUUAGCUGUCUCAAACUCUCAAAGUGUGAAAAUCCACAACAUGGGAUGUUUAUCAGCCUCACACACCAUCUUAUUUGGAAAAGGUUUUUGAACUUGUAAUAGAUCACAUGGGUGAGAUAGCCAUGUUGCCUGCUUUUAAAACAGCAAGCAACAGCUCAGUAGAGAUAGAGACCAGCAGAAAGUCAUCAAACCAGAUGCAGUCAACGAAGCAGUCAAGGUAAUAAAUAGCAAUACCUUGAACGUGGGAGAAGGAUUCUUUCCAACCUAUACCAACUUCAAGUUCACCUGAGAACCAACCUCCUGGCAAUUCAACAAGAAGUCAGCUUGCAGCAUACUGAGAAUCCUCUGCUUUUAAAGACCUUCACCUCAGUAAAGCACCAACUCAUCUAAGAAGCUACAGGCCUGUUAUGAAAGAGACUAAAAUGAUCACAAGUUGUAAUUGUAUAUUUUUUGUUUGUAUCUAAUAUUAUGUGAUACAUCAUGUUUUUAAAUCCCUAGGGCAAGUGUGGGAUAAUAAAUUUUU